rnacentral:rRNA from 1 species
UGGGGAAUAUUGGACAAUGGGCGCAAGCCUGAUCCAGCCAUGCCGCGUGAGUGAUGAAGGCCCUAGGGUUGUAAAGCUCUUUCACCGGUGAAGAUAAUGACGGUAACCGGAGAAGAAGCCCCGGCUAACUUCGUGCCAGCAGCCGCGGUAAUACGAAGGGGGCUAGCGUUGUCCGGAUUUACUGGGCGUAAAGCGCACGUAGGCGGACUAUUAAGUCAGGGGUGAAAUCCCGGGGCUCAACCCCGGAACUGCCUUUGAUACUGGUAGUCUUGAGUUGGGGGGAGGGGAGUGGAAGUCCGAGUGUAGAGGUGAAAUUCGUAGAUAUUCGGAGGAACACCAGUGGCGGAGGCGGCUCACUGGCUCGAUACUGAAGCUGAGGUGCGAAAGCGUGGGGAGCAAACAGG